rnacentral:rRNA from 1 species
AUUGAACGCUGGCGGCAGGCUUAACACAUGCAAGUCGAGCGGGGAAGGGUAGCUUGCUACCUGACCUAGCGGCGGACGGGUGAGUAAUGCUUAGGAAUCUGCCUAUUAGUGGGGGACAACAUUCCGAAAGGAAUGCUAAUACCGCAUACGCCCUACGGGGGAAAGCAGGGGAUCUUCGGACCUUGCGCUAAUAGAUGAGCCUAAGUUGGAUUAGCGAGUUGGUGGGGUAAAGGCCUACCAAGGCGACGAUCUGUAGCGGGUCUGAGAGGAUGAUCAGCCACACUGGGACUGAGACACGGCGCAGACUCCUACGGGAGGCAGCAGUGGGGAAUAUUGGACAAUGGGCGGAAGCCUGAUCCAGCCAUGCCGCGUGUGUGAAGAAGGCUUUUUGGUUGUAAAGCACUUUAAGCGAGGAGGAGGCUACCUGGAUUAAUACUCUGGGAUAGUGGACGUUACUCGCAGAAUAAGCACCGGCUAACUCUGUGCCAGCCGCCGCGGUAA